ensembl:lncRNA
AGGCCGUGUCAAAGUCAGGUAUUCAAUUCCUCCUGGGAAUAAACUUAUCAGAAAGAACGUAUCAGUUCCAUUUAUUGGAAAACGUUUUGGCUGGCAAAAAACUUGUAAGUAAGUGCAUAUCUUUUGGUUAAUGGCUUCUAUUCAAGUGCGAAAAUGUGAGGUCAGUGACACUAGACAGUGGGCUGAGCAUGCCAAUAACACACACACCCUUUGUAUAUCGUAAUACAUUGAAAUCCCUUGUGUAAGAUCUGUAGGGGUUCAACUCCCUCAGUCUGUCCGGCAGUCUGCAACUGUCUCUGCAGACUUACAUGUGUCUAUGUAUAUGGCUAAUCCAGGCAGUAUUACAUUAUUCCAUUUAGCCACCGAAGGUUGAGUGGGGAGUUGCAGACACACAUUUGUCGCACGGAUGAGCAAGUACUGAGAUGUAGGCGGUUCAAAAUAACUGACAAGUAAUUCAUGAGGUUUGAAACUCCAGUUGACUAAAACAAAAUAAAAAAUGGUCGGAACUCUUGCUCUCCGCCAUCUAAUCCACAAACAAACAAUUACCUAAUUAAAGGCUACCUAUCGGCGUCCUAGUGAUGCAGAACCCAGGAGCAUAAUAUACGUCACACACAGUCAUCAAGUAACACAUCUCAGUCUCCUUUGGGAUACACAAUCAAAGGUAAAUAAACAAUUUUCAUAUUCAUAUUUCAUAUUUCAUGUUUGUAUUUAAUAUUAAUAUUUCUUAUGUCAAGAUAUCAUAAGCUAACGCAAAAUAUCUCUAACAGGUUUUCUUAUCUAAAUUCAAAAAGCUUUCAAUAUGGCUCCAACACUGUGUGUAGACGCUUUCUGCUUUCCACCAGACACGGUUGCAUUUAAGUCCUUUCAUCUCUUACGUGCCAGCAUCAAUUCAGCAGGGCAUCCUAGAGGACAGACUGGAGGUGAAUGAAAAGGUCUCGGGAUUGGCUAUGAUCCUGACAGUGAAGGGAAGAAUAACUGUGAAGAAAUGCCGACUCCAUGAUGUCUCACUUAAAACGACUUGAGACUCUUCAGAUAAUGGGAUGACUCAGAGACAGGUGAGGGGAGAGGCACAGAUGGAGGGAGAUGUGCAUGGUUCUGACUGCAGGCACAAAUGCCCCCCCACCCCUAUAAUUCAUGCACUGGAGGUUGUCACACGGUUAGUGUGAUUAAUUAAUAUUUGCCACCCAAAGCCUGAUUCAAGCACUGCCUAAGGAGGAAGACAGAGAAUCAAGAGAAUGCUUCUUCAUUUGUGUUGUCAGGGUUACAAAGAGGAAAGGUGGCCUAAAUCAAGCACACAAGGGACAGCAGCUUCAUCAUAAUUAUAAUGAGCCCGCUUGUGUGUGCAUGUGUGUGUGCACGGGAGAGAGUGCAUAUGGCU